AGAACGAACGCUGGCGGCAUGCCUAAUACAUGCAAGUCGAACGAAGGCUUCGGCCUUAGUGGCGCACGGGUGCGUAACGCGUGGGAAUCUGCCCCUUGGUUCGGAAUAACAGUUGGAAACGACUGCUAAUACCGGAUGAUGACGAAAGUCCAAAGAUUUAUCGCCAAGGGAUGAGCCCGCGUAGGAUUAGCUAGUUGGUGAGGUAAAGGCUCACCAAGGCGACGAUCCUUAGCUGGUCUGAGAGGAUGAUCAGCCACACUGGGACUGAGACAAGGCCCAGACUCCUACGGGAGGCAGCAGUAGGGAAUAGUUGGACAAUGGGACGAAAGCC
rnacentral:rRNA from 1 species